CCCUCGGAGAGUUACAGCAAACAAAAGUAGCUUCGGCAAAAUUGGACUCGUAGAACAGGGAA
rnacentral:ncRNA from 1 species